CACACACACACACACACACACACACACACACACACACACUAAUUUUUCCUAGACUCUACUCUGCACCAUAGCCAAUAGAUGGAAAGUAGGAGGGACAUAGGGAAGGCAGGCUUGCUUUAUUAGAGACAAGACUCCAUUGGUUCUUCAUCUGAAGACAUCCAAUUGUUGGAACUGGAUGAACUCAAAGUAAACCAAGGAGUUUACUGCACCAAGAAUAAACAUCAAUGGGAAGCAACAAAAACUUUUAACUUGGAAACUAGAAUAAUCAGGUGUUAAAAAGACAGGAUGAAGACUUUGAUUCUACCAGGACUCAUUUUGGCCUUCGCCAUUUGCUUCCAGUUCAGUGACAGUCAGAAAUCAUGGAAGCAGACAAUAGAAAAGGCAUUCAACAGUCAACCCAUCCAAAAGUCAACUUCCAAGACAUCACGAAGCCAAUUUUCAUCUACACAGCUUGACAAACAACGUGCAUCCUUGUCUCAUGAUUCUGCCUCACUUACCAACAGAUUCUCCCGAAGGGCUUCUUCAUCACCCUUCAAUGCUCAGAAUGUAAAGACUUUAUUUUCUAAAGUUAGUUCAGAGAUUAAAAAAGGAGCUGACAAGUUAUCUUCAAACCUUAGGAAAUUAAUUAGAAAGAGAAGAUCUGACCGGUCCAGGCCAGUUAACAGACAGGUAAACCAACCUAUGAUUAGAUCAGCUACUCGAAUAUCUAAACCUAGAAUGAGAUCUUCAGAAACCUUGAAAAGGACCCAGUCUAAGCCAUGCAGAGAACAACCAUCUAAGUUACAAAAGAAAAGACAAAAGAUAAAGGAAAAUUUGGCUACUAAAAGAAAUCUCAAAAAAACUAAAUUAUCACCUAAGAGAAGGCAAACCUCAUCCUUAACACAACAGUCCCGUAAGUCCAGAAAGGAAAGGCAACAGCAAAGGAAACAGCAGAGAGCCGCUAAAAAGGCUGUAAAGAAAGAGCUUAGGAAGAUUAAUUCCAAAGUGUCACUUCUGAAAAGGCAAACCUCAUCUCUAAUAAACAGGUUAGGCAAAUCCAAGACCAAACACCCCAAACUCAAUGAGGAGAACACACUUAAAACCUUUGAAGAAGCAAAGAGACUACUUUCCUUAGCAGAGGAAAUAUUCAAUGCAUCUAUGAGGGGACAACCAAUACUUACUCAGAAAUUGUUGGCUUCACCUAACCCAACUAUUUCUAGUACCAGUGCGAGAGCCUCUUCCACUGAGAGAUCAACUUCAGCUCUGGUGAUUGGCACUACUACUUUAGUACCAUCAACCAUUAACUCAGCAAUAGAGGCUACAUCCACAAAUCCUUCAGAAGAAUCCACACACCCAGGUACUUCCCCUAGUCCUACAACUUCCAGGGACACAGUGGUUAGGUCCACAACUCAUUCAGCCUCUGCCUCUACCACUAUAUCUGGUUCUACCUCAGAGGGCUCAGAAACUGAAGUAAACACCGAAGAUAAGACCACCACCCCAGCCAUGGAUGCUUCUACCACUAAAGCUGCCUCUACAACUUCAACAAACAUAACUACCACACCUCCCAUUACCACUACAAACACCACCUCUGUGCUUACUGGAGACAAAACAAAAACAAGUUUCACUACUCUGGGCAUUGAGGCCACCACCCGUGGUAGCACACUGUCAUCAACCAGUAUGGCCAUACCUCUUGCUCCUGCCACUACAAAAAUACCCACAACUUCUGCCUUUGUUCCUGUUGGUUCUACCAGGAAUGCAUUACAAGGCACCACACCUGUAGCACGUUCUACUAGAAGUGUACCUAUCACUGUGACAACUGUAAAAAAUGUGACUAGCACAUUAGUGACUACAGCUGUCACUCAAACAGCAGUGAAAACAAACAAUGAAACUACAACCCAAGUGCAUGUGGGAACCACUAAAUCAACAAUUGGCACAACCGUGUAGCUUAUAUGAUAUCACUCAGUGCUGUUACAAACGGAUUCCAUGAUCUCAAAGACAAACUCUGUGUCUACAGUUAUCACCACAGCUACUGGAUCCUUAACCACAAUACUUCCAAGAGCUAUUGUCCCAAUAUCUAGAACAGAUACAACCACCAGUGUGGCUAUAACUUACCCCAGAAACACAAAUGCUGCUGCCUAUACGACCCAUGUGGGUACCUCCACUUUCAUGUCUGUGGCUCCCUUCCUGACCCCUAAACAUGGAAAUUUGGGUAAAAAUUCCACCCAGGUUUCUGGAACUACAACAGCAGGAGGCCUCCCCAUGAACCAGAGAAAAAUAGAACUUCUGAAGAGAUAUCACAGCUCCACCACUGAUGACCCAACUUCUCCACCUGAUUCUACAACCUUAGAAAUAGGCACCACAACUAUAGCUAAUAUCACAUCUGUGGAACCACUGGCCACGACAUCUGGGGUUACUUCAUUAACAACCAUAAUCCCCAUAGCAGCCACCACAACCUCUACAUCUUCAGUUUCAGAUGUCACAAUUACUGCCAGAGCCAUGUGCCCAUCACCCCACCACAAUUUCAGUUACUCCAUUAAAAGAAUGAUUGUUCAGCUGAUGAAACCGUGGCUCCAAUGGAACAGACUUUAGUCACCAAAAACACAGCCUCAGCUUAAGCUACCUCUGCUACUAAUAGCACAGGACACCAUUCCUACAACUACAGACAAAAAAUUGUAAGUGGCAUUAGCCCUGCAUCAUGGUAAAAUCAAUGCAAACAAUCUUUUCAGACAUCUCAGUGAGUGCAAAUUAUCUCAUGCCAAGGAAAUACACAAAGAAAUUCAGUAUGCUCUAUUUGUCCUCAAACACCUUGAAUCACUUCUAGUUACUAUUUACAUUUUACUUUACUUUUGACAAAGAUUCAUUAUUCUGAGUUUACACACAAAGAUGUAGAGGUGUAGGGUGUGUGUGUGUGUGUGUGUGUGUGUGUGUGUGUGUGUGUGUAUGAGAGAGAGAGAGUGGGGGGGAGAGGAGAGAGAGAGAGAGAGAGAGAGAGAGAGAGAGAGAGAGAGAGAGAGACACUGCAGAAUAUGUGGUAGCAAAACAAGGCUAGAAUACACAGGUUUUAAUACUUUCACCAGCUAUCAGAAUUUAAGGAAGGUGAUCUCAGAGAUGGUUGAAAAGAUUGUUGAACCAUAAUCACUUGGUUUUUGUCUUAAAAAAGUGAUCACUAAGUUCAAUCUACAUUUCAGAAACUAUACUUUGAAGACUAAAGAAUGGAUCAGCAAGAAAAACAUUUAUCUCACAAACAUCAGGACUAAAAUUCAGAUCUCCAGCACUCAUAUACAAGUUAGGCAGAUGUGAUGGGUGACCAAUAAUCCCAACACCAAGGAGGCAAAGUGAGGGAUCCCUGUAGCAUGCUGGCUAGCUAAAUUGGCAAGCUCUGAACUCAGUUGCCAGACCCCCACCUCAAUAUACAUGGUAGAAAGCAAUCAAUGAAGAUGACAUCUAACGUCAACUAUAAUGUUUAAUAUCUACAAACACAUGUACAUGUGCACACAUCCCUAAAAUGUGGGCACACAUACGUACACACACACACACACACACACACACACACACACACACACCCUCUACUUUUCAACAAGGUUCCUAGUGAAUGGACAAUGUUGUCUAAUAAACUACUAAAUAUAAGUCCCGGUCCCCGGGUCUUCUGCGGUUCUUCAGGCAGAGAAAUAGUCUUGUAUAUAUAAGCUCAAACACAAGCAUGAGUAAAUCACAAUAAAGAAUUAUAAGUAGUUAUUCUAGACAACUUUAUUGAGGAUUAGGCCAAAGUCAAUGUCAAAAUUAAUGAUGAUAUAUCAUUAUUAAUAAAGAAAAUCUGUGCAGAAGAAAAUACAAUCUAGAAAAAUUUGUAGAACCAAGAUAAAAUAUAAUGAAGACCUAUUCAUUAUGAAUCCAUAAAUGUAAAAUACCUAAGCUGGAACUACAGGUGUAACUCAGUAGUAGAGCAUUUCCCAAGAGGCAUAAGGCUUAAGUUUCAAUGCCUAACAUUAAAAAGAUAAAAAUUAAAUAUAUUAAGAUUAAGCUAGCAGAAAUAGAUUACUUCAAAAAACUGCCGUAACUCAUAUUUGCAAGUUUUAUUUAACGUUUUGUAGUUUUUAGUGCUAUAUGGAUAAAGGGAUUCAAGACAGCAAUCAUAAUGGGCAAAGCUAUUAAUAUAGUGAAGUAGAAGUGACAUGCAACAUUCUAAAUAUAUAAUGUAAGAACAUAUAAUAUACUCUAAUAUAAUUAACAGCAGCCAGGAAGGUGGAGGGUCUCUCAGGGUGACACAAAACAGAAUGGAUAAGAACUGGAAAGAGAAGAAAUAGAAACUAGCAAUUCUGAAACACUUGGCUAUGGUUAUAGUACAAAGAACUAAUCUGUUCAUUUUUAUGUCCUAAAACUUCUCUAUAUUUAACUGCCUACCCUCAUAAUUGGCAAUAUUGAUCGAGAACUUACUGCUGUCCUCUGAACUAUGACAUCAUUCUAGAAAUCAUGCUACCUUCAUUCUCUAACUUUCUAAAUGUAUUCACUUUUAUUUCUUCAGCUUUUGUUCAAUAAAUCAUUUUUAAACAUGUUUUUUCUUACAGUAUUUGUGUGUGUGUGCGUGUGUGUGCGCGCAUGUGCGCACAUGUGCACACGCGCAUGUACACGCACACACACGUAUACCCUAUAAGGCAAGAAUGGAAGUCAAAGGUCAGAGGACCCCUUCUACCAUUAAAACUUCUCUUGAAGCCUUUCCCUUGCAAUUUUGUCUCAACCCCACUGACAGUAUAGAAACAAGCAUAGUAUACAUGCUCAGAAGGUAUCCAGGUAACUCAGGUACCCUAACACUGCAUAGUGCUAAUGGACUCCCUCUCUCGUCCUCAUCCUACUAUAGAAUGCUGCUUGGUGAGCCAAGAGGCUUGAAACAACUUCCUCUGUCAGGAGCCAUAAUGGGG
ensembl:lncRNA